rnacentral:rRNA from 1 species
GGGUUGUGAGGUUAAGCGACUAAGCGUACACGGUGGAUGCCCUGGCAGUCAGAGGCGAUGAAGGGCGUGCUAAUCUGCGAUAAGCGCCGGUAAGGUGAUAUGAACCGUUAUAACCGGCGAUACCCGAAUGGGGAAACCCAGUGUGAUUCGUCACACUAUCAUUAACUGAAUCCAUAGGUUAAUGAGGCGAACCGGGGGAACUGAAACAUCUAAGUACCCCGAGGAAAAGAAAUCAACCGAGAUUCCCCCAGUAGCGGCGAGCGAACGGGGAGGAGCCCAGAGCCUGAAUCAGCAUGUGUGUUAGUGGAAGCGUCUGGAAAGGCGCGCGAUACAGGGUGACAGCCCCGUACACAAAAGCGCAUGUGCUGUGAGCUCGAUGAGUAGGGCGGGACACGUGGUAUCCUGUCUGAAUAUGGGGGGACCAUCCUCCAAGGCUAAAUACUCCUGACUGACCGAUAGUGAACCAGUACCGUGAGGGAAAGGCGAAAAGAACCCCGGCGAGGGGAGUGAAAAAGAACCUGAAACCGUGUACGUACAAGCAGUGGGAGCNNGUGACUGCGUACCUUUUGUAUAAUGGGUCAGCGACUUAUAUUCUGUAGCAAGGUUAACCGAAUAGGGGAGCCGGAGGGAAACCGAGUCUUAACCGGGCGUUAAGUUGCAGGGUAUAGACCCGAAACCCGGUGAUCUAGCCAUGGGCAGGUUGAAGGUUGGGUAACACUAACUGGAGGACCGAACCGACUAAUGUUGAAAAAUUAGCGGAUGACCUGUGGCUGGGGGUGAAAGGCCAAUCAAACCGGGAGAUAGCUGGUUCUCCCCGAAAGCUAUUUAGGUAGCGCCUCGUGAAUUCAUCUCCGGGGGUAGAGCACUGUUUCGGCUAGGGGGCCAUCCCGGCUUACCAACCCGAUGCAAACUGCGAAUACCGGAGAAUGUUAUCACGGGAGACACACGGCGGGUGCUAACGUCCGUCGUGAAGAGGGAAACAACCCAGACCGCCAGCUAAGGUCCCAAAGUCAUGGUUAAGUGGGAAACGAUGUGGGAAGGCCCAGACAGCCAGGAUGUUGGCUUAGAAGCAGCCAUCAUUUAAAGAAAGCGUAAUAGCUCACUGGUCGAGUCGGCCUGCGCGGAAGAUGUAACGGGGCUAAACCAUGCACCGAAGCUGCGGCAGCGACGCUUAUGCGUUGUUGGGUAGGGGAGCGUUCUGUAAGCCUGUGAAGGUGGCCUGUGAGGGUUGCUGGAGGUAUCAGAAGUGCGAAUGCUGACAUAAGUAACGAUAAAGCGGGUGAAAAGCCCGCUCGCCGGAAGACCAAGGGUUCCUGUCCAACGUUAAUCGGGGCAGGGUGAGUCGACCCCUAAGGCGAGGCCGAAAGGCGUAGUCGAUGGGAAACGGGUUAAUAUUCCCGUACUUGGUGUUACUGCGAAGGGGGGACGGAGAAGGCUAUGUUGGCCGGGCGACGGUUGUCCCGGUUUAAGCGUGUAGGUGUGUGUUCCAGGUAAAUCCGGUUCACUUUAACACUGAGGCGUGAUGACGAGGCACUACGGUGCUGAAGUAACAAAUGCCCUGCUUCCAGGAAAAGCCUCUAAGCAUCAGGUAACAUCAAAUCGUACCCCAAACCGACACAGGUGGUCAGGUAGAGAAUACCAAGGCGCUUGAGAGAACUCGGGUGAAGGAACUAGGCAAAAUGGUGCCGUAACUUCGGGAGAAGGCACGCUGACACGUAGGUGAAGUGAUUUACUCAUGGAGCUGAAGUCAGUCGAAGAUACCAGCUGGCUGCAACUGUUUAUUAAAAACACAGCACUGUGCAAACACGAAAGUGGACGUAUACGGUGUGACGCCUGCCCGGUGCCGGAAGGUUAAUUGAUGGGGUCAGCGCAAGCGAAGCUCCUGAUCGAAGCCCCGGUAAACGGCGGCCGUAACUAUAACGGUCCUAAGGUAGCGAAAUUCCUUGUCGGGUAAGUUCCGACCUGCACGAAUGGCGUAAUGAUGGCCAGGCUGUCUCCACCCGAGACUCAGUGAAAUUGAACUCGCUGUGAAGAUGCAGUGUACCCGCGGCAAGACGGAAAGACCCCGUGAACCUUUACUAUAGCUUGACACUGAACAUUGAGCCUUGAUGUGUAGGAUAGGUGGGAGGCUUUGAAGUGUGGACGCCAGUCUGCAUGGAGCCGACCUUGAAAUACCACCCUUUAAUGUUUGAUGUUCUAACGUGGACCCGUUACCCGGGUUGCGGACAGUGUCUGGUGGGUAGUUUGACUGGGGCGGUCUCCUCCUAAAGAGUAACGGAGGAGCACGAAGGUUGGCUAAUCCUGGUCGGACAUCAGGAGGUUAGUGCAAUGGCAUAAGCCAGCUUGACUGCGAGCGUGACGGCGCGAGCAGGUGCGAAAGCAGGUCAUAGUGAUCCGGUGGUUCUGAAUGGAAGGGCCAUCGCUCAACGGAUAAAAGGUACUCCGGGGAUAACAGGCUGAUACCGCCCAAGAGUUCAUAUCGACGGCGGUGUUUGGCACCUCGAUGUCGGCUCAUCACAUCCUGGGGCUGAAGUAGGUCCCAAGGGUAUGGCUGUUCGCCAUUUAAAGUGGUACGCGAGCUGGGUUUAGAACGUCGUGAGACAGUUCGGUCCCUAUCUGCCGUGGGCGCUGGAGAACUGAGGGGGGCUGCUCCUAGUACGAGAGGACCGGAGUGGACGCAUCACUGGUGUUCGGGUUGUCAUGCCAAUGGCACUGCCCGGUAGCUAAAUGCGGAAGAGAUAAGUGCUGAAAGCAUCUAAGCACGAAACUUGCCCCGAGAUGAGUUCUCCCUGAGACUUAAAGUCUCCUGAAGGAACGUUGAAGACGACGACGUUGAUAGGCCGGGUG